rnacentral:rRNA from 1 species
UCUACGGGUGGCAGCAGUAGGGAAUCUUUCACAAUGGGCGAAAGCCUGAUGGAGCAACGCCGCGUGCAGGAUGAAGGCCUUCGGGUUGUAAACCGCUUUUAUAAGCGAGAAAUAUGAUGGUAACUUAUGAAUAAGGAUCGUCUAACUACGUGCCAGCAGCCGCGGUCAUACGUAGGGGGCGAGCCUUAUCCGGAGUGACUGGGUGUAAAGAGUUGCGUAUGGGGGAUAACUAGUAGCUAGUGAAAACUGGUGGCUCAACCAUUCAGACUAUUAGCUAAACUGUUAAGCUUGAGACCGUUAGGGGUAACUGGAAUUUCUAGUGUAGGAGUGAAAUGCGUAGAUAUUAGGAAGAACACCAAUAGCGAAGGCAGGUUGCUGGGACGGUACUGACACUAAGGCACGAAAGCGUAGGGAGCAAACGGGAUUAGAUACCCCUGUAGUC